GACGAACGCUGGCGGCGUGCUUAACACAUGCAAGUCGAACGGUAAGGCCCCUUCGGGGGUACACGAGUGGCGAACGGGUGAGUAACACGUGGGUGAUCUGCCCUGCACUUCGGGAUAAGCCUGGGAAACUGGGUCUAAUACCGGAUAGGACCACGCUCUGCAUGGAGUGUGGUGGAAAGCUUUUGCGGUGUGGGAUGGGCCCGCGGCCUAUCAGCUUGUUGGUGGGGUGAUGGCCUACCAAGGCGACGACGGGUAGCCGGCCUGAGAGGGUGUCCGGCCAACGGGGGACUGGGACAAGGCCGAGACCCCGAGGGGGGGGGGGGGGGGGAAAUAUUGCACAAGGGGCGAAAGCCGGAGGCAGGGACGCCGGGGGGGGGAGGAGGGCCUUGGGGUUGAAACCCUUUUUAAGUACCAACGAAGCGAAAGGGAGGGGGGGAACAGAAGAAGCCCCGGCCAACUAAGG
rnacentral:rRNA from 1 species